AGGAGAGAUGGCUUAAAGGGGUACGCGGGCUUCUUCCGCGAAUUCGCUCCAGGAUGGGACUGCGUCCGAUCAGGCUGUUGGCGGGGUAAUGGCCCACCAAACCUGUAACCGGUACGGGCCUUGAGAGAGGUGGCCCGGAGAUGGACACUGAGAGAAGGGUCCAGGUCCUACGGGGCGCAGCAGGCGCGAAACCUUCGCAAUGCGCGAAAGCGUGACGAGGUUAAUCCGAGUGACUUCCGCUGAGGAGGUCUUUUGUCAGCUGUAAAUAGGCAGGCGAAUAAGGGGAGGGCAAGCCUGGUGUCAGCCGCCGCGGUAAUACCAGCUCCUCGAGUGGUCGGGGCGAUUAUUGGGCCUAAAGCAUCCGUAGCCGGUUCCGUAGGUCCUCUGUUAAAUCCAACCGCUUAACGGUUGACCUGCAGAGGAUACCGCGGGACUAGGAGGCGGGAGAGGCGGACGGUACUCCGCGUGUAGGGGUAAAAUCCUUUGAUCCGCGGAAGACCACCAGUGGCGAAGGCGGUCCGCCAGAACGCGCCCGACGGUGAGGGAUGAAAGCUGGGGGAGCGAACCGGAUUAGAUACCCGGGUAGUCCCAGCCGUAAACGAUGCUAGCUAGAUGAUUCAUUCGCAAGUCGCGAAUGAAGUGUCGCAGGGAAGCCGUUA
rnacentral:rRNA from 1 species